rnacentral:sRNA from 1 species
GCUGGGCGUGGUGGUGCGUGCCUGUAAUCCCAGCUACCUGGGAGGCUGAGGCAGGAGGAUCCCUUGAGUCUGGGACGUCGAGGCUGCAGUGAGCUGUGAUCACAGCACUGCACUCCAGCAUGGAAGACAGAGUGAGACUCUGUCUCAA